rnacentral:rRNA from 1 species
CCUACGGGUGGCAGCAGUGGGGAAUAUUGCGCAAUGGGCGAAAGCCUGACGCAGCGACGCCGCGUGAGGGAUGAAGGCCUUCGGGUCGUAAACUUCUGUCAGUAGGGAAGAACGGUUAUUGUGUUAAUCACCAGUGAAUUGACGGUACCUGCAAAGGAAGCACCGGCUAACUCCGUGCCAGCAGCCGCGGUAAUACGGAGGGUGCGAGCGUUAAUCGGAAUUACUGGGCGUAAAGCGCUCGUAGGCGGUAGGUCAAGUCAAGGGUGAAAUCCCCGGGCUCAACGUGGGAACUGCAUUUGAUACUGGGAAGCUGGAGUGUGUGAGAGGAGGGUAGAAUUCCAGGUGUAGGGGUGAAAUGCGUAGAUAUGUGGAGGAACAUCGAUGGCGAAGGCGGCUAUCUGGGA